GGAGAUUUAGCUUAGCGGCAUAAGCGCCUGCCUUAUAAGCAGGCAAUCGCCAGUUCGAUCCCUGGUACCA
rfam:Cavia porcellus supercont2_15 genomic scaffold, whole genome shotgun sequence.